rnacentral:snRNA from 1 species
AGCUUUGUGCAGUGGCAAUACCGUAGCCAGUGAGGUUUAUCCGAGGCGUGAUUAUUGCUAAUUAAAAAAAAAAAAAAAAGAUCAUUGAGUCAGACACGACAGCAGUGAGUGUUGCAUUAUUCUAAAAGU